rnacentral:lncRNA from 1 species
GAUUUUCUAUGAAUGUUUUUAUAAUAGUAACAUCAGAGUGGAUUACAUGUGUGUGACGAUUCGCUUUGCAAAUGAAACAAUGCCAGAAGCGCAACUUCUAGUAAAACACAGGUGCCGUGGCGUUAGCCAACUUGUAAAUCAUGUCUGUUCGGACUAUAGUAAAUUGUAACGACUACUUUUGUGUCACAUAUAGCUCAUUGAAGAUCUACUUGUAAGAUCAUUGAAUCAAUAUUCGUCAUUUCUUGAAGAAUGAUAGAUCAAGCAACGAACUACGUAAUGUUAUAAUUCAUUCAGUCCAAUGCUCGUCACUCCCUCUAUUCUUGAAAUGGUGCUACCAACUGAAAUCAUGGAUGCACCAUAAUUAGGAUUGAAGUGAAGAAAUUACAAGCGAGCACGAGGGAGGCAAAAGAGAAUCACAAGAUAUAGGUACAAUAAUUUUAUGUGGCCAGAGUAAUUGAAGUUAGGUCCCACUUGAUUUGGACCACAUUUAUGUUUUCUAUAAAUAACCUAGCAUGUUCUUAAUGUGCUCCGAUUACAAUAUAACAGUCAUAUGUAGGUCCUACAUGAUCAUUAUAUCAUCUUCAGUUCAUGAACUAAUCCAGAUAUAUGAAGUUAGUCGAGUUACCAACAUAUUUACCACGGGUCAUGACUGAAAUCAAUCAUGCAACUCUUUCCAAUCGAGUUGUUCAUAGCUCUAGAUCGAUAAGUGAGGCUAAACUUUUGUAUGUAUGCCAUUUUUUCUUAAUUUCAAUUUUAGCUAUCCAUAUUCUUCUUUGAAGUUGAAAAAAAGAAAAGAAAAGAAAAGAAAAAGAAAUUGAUUGCUUUUAUACAGAUGAGAAAAAGGAAAAAAGGUUCACGGAAUUGUUUGUGGAGAAGCAUCUUUUUCUUAUUGUGGGAGGGGAUAAGACAAGUCGACAU